ACAUGCAGUCGAGCGGUAGAGAGAGCUUGCUUCUCUUGAGAGCGGCGGACGGGUGAGUAAUGCCUAGGAAUCUGCCUGGUAGUGGGGGAUAACGUUCGGAAACGGACGCUAAUACCGCAUACGUCCUACGGGAGAAAGCAGGGGACCUUCGGGCCUUGCGCUAUCAGAUGAGCCUAGGUCGGAUUAGCUAGUUGGUGAGGUAAUGGCUCACCAAGGCGACGAUCCGUAACUGGUCUGAGAGGAUGAUCAGUCACACUGGAACUGAGACACGGUCCAGACUCCUACGGGAGGCAGCAGUGGGGAAUAUUGGACAAUGGGCGAAAGCCUGAUCCAGCCAUGCCGCGUGUGUGAAGAAGGUCUUCGGAUUGUAAAGCACUUUAAGUUGGGAGGAAGGCAGUUACCUAAUACGUGAUUGUUUUGACGUUACCGACAGAUAAGCACGGCUAACUCUGUGCCAGCAGCGCGGUAAUACAGAGGUGCAAGCGUUAUCGGAUUACUGGGCGAAAGCGCGCGUAGGUGGUUGUAAGUGGAUGUGAAUCCCGGCUCACCUGGGACUGCUUCAAACUGACUGACUAGAG
rnacentral:rRNA from 1 species